rnacentral:pre_miRNA from 1 species
CUAUUACUCCCUCUGUCCGGAAAUACUUGUCACCAAAAUGAAUAAAAAGAGAUAUAUCUAGACAUAUUUUAGUUCUAGAUACAUCUCUUUUUAUCCAUUUUGAUGACAAGUAUUUUCGGACGGAGGGAGUAUUUU